ensembl:snoRNA
GUGCAAGCCUCCAGCGUGCUUGGGAUUGGAGUGACUCUGCAUUACUACAGUGCUUACAAGAAUAAGAUAAAAUGGUUUGAGGCCUUGCACUGCUCCAUCCAGAGCAAGGUUAUAGAAAUUCCAGGCAAUU